UAGUCCACGCCGUAAACGAUCAUCACUCGCUGUUGGCGAUAUACUGUCAGCGGCCAAGCGAAAGUAUUAAGUGAUGCACCUGGGGAGUACGCCGGCAACGGUGAAACUCAAAGGAAUUGACGGGGGGCCCGCACAAGCGGUGGAGCAUGUGGUUUAAUUCGAUGAUACGCGAGGAACCUUACCAGGGCUUAAAUGUAGUAUGACCGGUCUGGAAACAGGCCUUCCCUUCGGGGCAGAUUACAAGGUGCUGCAUGGUUGUCGUCAGCUCGUGCCGUGAGGUGUUAGGUUAAGUCCUGCAACGAGCGCAACCCCUGUCCUUAGUUGCCAGCCUUAAGUUGGGCACUCUAAGGAGACUGCCGGUGACAAACCGGGAGGAAGGUGGGGACGACGUCAAGUCAUCAUGGCCCUUACGAGUAGGGGCUACACACGUGCUACAAUGGGAU
rnacentral:rRNA from 1 species